CAUGCUCCUUCCUACACACUGAGCAUCACAACACCCUGUACACAUUAAAAAAAUAUCCUCUUCGGUACACAACCAAAGUCAAUACUGCCCUCAGUCUGCCCACAGCCCUGCAUAUUUUUCAGUGUCUGGUAGUUUUGGAUCCAUGACUGAGGGGAUAUGUCUAUUCUUACCUUCAUGCAAGUUCAUGUACCUGCAUACACACACUGACUCCUGCUUCUCUCAUGAAAUAUGGUUAAAUUUUUGUUUUUCUUUUAGAUUUUUAUGAGCUCCCAAUGCACAGAUCAUGAAAAAACAAAUACAUCAUGGAAAUAACAAAUCCGUAAUCUGAGCUUUUAGGUGCUCAUUUCUUCCCCUCAGAACUACAGUGGCCAAAACGUUUUCUUAAUUUUGUCAAAUAAAAGCUUAGCUUGAGUGUGGGGUGGUUUUGGGUUUGUUUUUUUAAAAAAGCUGCUAUGUACCUCAACUGUUACUGAAUUCUGCUGUCUGUAAGCUUCUACAAUUGCUCAGUUACGUGGGACAAUGCCCAAUUAACACAAGACAAACUGUUCUCAUUAUAGUGCAAUAUAUAUAUUAUCAACUGUAUGUUUUCAUGUAUGUGGAAGCAUAUUUACAUGUGUCCACUAUAUGAAAUUCAAGCUCCAGACUGAGAACGUUCCUUAAGAAAAUUAAUAUUCAAUAUAUGCAGUGUAAUUUUGUUCUUUACACAGCUGUAACAAAUGCAAAGUUUCUACCAUAUACUUCCAAAACACAAUAUGCAACAGGACAGACAGACAGGAAAGAUUCAAUUAAUUCUUAGUAAAUAUGCUCUUUAUGAGCAUAUAAAAAACAAAAAACAAAACAACUUUCAACACAAAUCAGCCCUAUUUAUCUCAGUCUCAAAGGAAACCAGAGUUUUGCACUUGCAACUUGUCUCUUCUAAUGAGAGAUUAUUUCAUCUCUUGAUUACUCCUUUUUCUUGAGGAACAAGAUGAAAUUCAUGCAUAUUAGCAAGGUUUAUGCAAUAUAUAUAUAAAACCAACCAAGAUUAAGACACAUCUUAUGCACAUGAACACACGUCAACAGAACAGGAACAUAUAGGAUCUCCCUGUAGGUAUUCCUUACAAAAAAAAGCCUUAUAUAUUAACCAAGUCAAAGGAGGGAAAUACUGAUAACCUUUAAUGACUUAAGUCUUCUAACCACACCUAACCCUGUCUACCUGGUAAGUAAUUUUCACUUUACACAGUUCAACAGACACACAUUUAUCUUGAUAUAAGUAGCAAAAACCAAAAGCUUCUUCCCACUACCCACCCAUGCCCCUCUUUUCCUAACGUGCCGAUUCCAGUGACAAAAAGUAGGAAAGCAAUCAAAGGUAAAACCUUAAGUGCCUCUUCAGUUAAUAUUACUAGAGUAGUUUGAGUUCUGCCAAAAGUAUUCUGAGUUGAAAUGGCAGAACUGCACUGCAUAUGACAAGCUUGUAUUGGCAAGAAAUAUACAACUUAGUGACUGCAAAGUGAGUACUUCUUGUUACAAUCUCCUGAAGCAGGGAAAAAAAAAGAUGUCAUGCUUUGGCAAAAAUCCCCCCUGACCAAAAUGAUUUCCUAUAAAAAGUUCAAACAUAUUUUAAAACAUUUAGCUGCCACUUUUUCUUGGCCUGAGGUUUUCAAUUACUCAAACUCCUUGGGUCAAAAAACUCAACUGACAAGCUUGAGCUGUGUAGCAUGCCUCCGAAUUACCAAAAACUGAAAAAUCUGGGGGCGUACUGUAUGCUAAACUUUCAAAACAAACAUUAAUAAGAAUGAAAGAGAAAGGUGCUUCAGUUGAAAGUGAUAGAAACAAACCUAUCGUACAUAACAUUUUAAUAGAAGACUAGUAAGGUGACUUCUUUCACUACUGCAUCACUUAUCCGGUGCUUCUGUGGCAUUUGGAAAGCACAAACAUUCUGACAGAAAAAAAACACAGCUCUCAAGUAGAGACUUAAAA
ensembl:lncRNA